GAUUAUCGCCCUGAAGGGUGUUCGCACCUUGGAAGGAGGGACUCGGACAAUGCCGGACAAUGGAGCAGGAAACCGACACCGCAAACAACAUAAAUUUUCUUUGGGCACCUCGCCAUUAUGCUCCACUCGGACAUCUCCGUGUUCCAUGGGUCAGACUGUCUUAUUCUUUCCUGGAUUCUCCCUUCUCUUUUUUACUGAUGUGUACCGAAGGGACAAAUAACAGGGUGAUUUCUUCGAGAAACUCGAUCAGAGCGACGAGGACGCGAAGCGAUCUGUACACGGCUUCGCGGUCUUAACCCCGUUUUGAGGGAUCCAGAGGCGGGGAGGCCAAUAACCCAGGUCGUCGAGCUUCGCGAACGAACCCGACGACAUCGUAUUUCAGCCGAAAUUGCCGAACGGC
rnacentral:misc_RNA from 1 species